GGGGAUAUAGCUCAGCUGGGAGAGCGCUUGAAUGGCAUUCAAGAGGUCAGGGGUUCGAUUCCCCUUAUCUCCA
rfam:Jonquetella anthropi DSM 22815 chromosome, whole genome shotgun sequence.